AAAGCCGCGAGGCAGAGCGAACCCCCAAAAGCCGUCUCAGUUCGGAUCGCAGGCUGCAACCCGCCUGCGUGAAGUCGGAAUCGCUAGUAAUCGCGGAUCAGCAUGCCGCGGUGAAUACGUUCCCGGGCCUUGUACACACCGCCCGUCGCACCAUGAGAGUCGGGAACACCCGAAGUCCGUAGCCUAACCGCAAGAGGGGCGCGGCCGAAGGUGGGUUCGAUAAUUGGGGUGAAGUCGUAACAAGGUAAC
rnacentral:rRNA from 1 species